CAAACGCUGAUGGCGUGCUUCAUACAUGCAAGUCGAGCGAGAAACCGGUGCUUGCACCGGCGGAGAGCGGCGAACGGGUGAGUAACACGUAAACAAUCUGCCCUUGAGUUGGGGAUAACCAUUCUAACGAAUGGCUAAUACCGAAUAUGGUUAAUUUUUCGCAUGAUUUAUUAACAAAAGGCUUCGGCCGCUCAAGGAUGAGUUUGCGUCCCAUUAGUUAGUUGGCGGGGUAACGGCCCACCAAGACGUCGAUGGGUAGCCGGCCUGAGAGGGUGAUCGGCCACAUUGGGACUGAGAUACGGCCCAGACUCCUACGGGAGGCAGCAGUAGGGAAUUUUGCGCAAUGGAGGAAACUCUGACGCAGCAACGCCAUGUGAGGGAUGAAGCAUUUAGGUGUGUAAACCUCUGUCGACAUGGAAUAAACUUCAUUUUCGGAUGAACUGAAUGUACCUGUAAAGGAAGCCCCGGCUAACUUC
rnacentral:rRNA from 1 species